rnacentral:rRNA from 1 species
GACGAACGCUGGCGGCGUGCUUAACACAUGCAAGUCGAGCGGUAAGGCCCUUUCGGGGGUACGACGAGCGGCGAACGGGUGAGUAACACGUGGGUGACCUGCCCUCAGCUCUGGGAUAAGCCUGGGAAACUGGGUCUAAUACUGGAUAUGACUCCACGGUGCAUGUCGUGGGGUGGAAAGCCUUGUGCGGCUGAGGAUGGGCCCGCGGCCUAUCAGCUUGUUGGUGGGGUGAUGGCCUACCAAGGCGACGACGGGUAGCCGGCCU